AUUGUAUAGUAAUGAUACUGCAAGUCCAAUAGUUCCAUUCAUGUAUCUACUUAUAAAAAAUAUAUUCUGCUUUCUAAACUCUCACUGAAAGUAUAAUAUAAAUUUGAAUUUCGUAUUUAUAUUUAAGAUUAUAAUAAUUAUUAAAUUUUUAUAUUAUAAAAAUAAUUAUUUAUGGGAUUUUUUCGUUUACCUGUUCGUCGAGGUUAUGUAGUCAUUAUAUUAGGUGCUCUUACUGGUUAUUAUAUUUGGAAUGAACCGUUAAAACAAUACGCUGAGAAGAAUUUUGCUAACGAAAAUUUAAAUAAAGAAGCAUCUCAUGGCUAAAUACAAAUUUCGUUUACAUCCUGGAAGUAAGCUACUUCUUGGUGUGGGUCUCUUUGUAGGAUGUUUUUUUAUUUAUAAAGAUUAUUUCGAACAGCACGUUGCAUUACGCAAAAGGGAGAAAAUUAAAAGAGAGGCAAAUAUGUUAUAUGAGAAAUAUAAAGAAAGAGACACAAAUCUAUCAAAAGUAGAAAUCAUCUGAAAACUGUGUAUUGUCAUUAGAAUGUAGCAUGUGUAAUAAAUAAUACAUUUAAAACUA